GAUGAACGCUAGCGGCAGGCUUAAUACAUGCAAGUCGAGGGGCAGCAGGUUUGUAGCAAUACAGAUGCUGGCGACCGGCAAACGGGUGCGGAACACGUACAGAACCUUCCUUUAAGUGGGGAAUAGCCCAGGGAAACUUGGAUUAAUACCCCGUAAUAUAUAGAAGUGGCAUCACUUUUAUAUUAUAGCUCCGGCGCUUAAAGAUGGCUGUGCGGCUGAUUAGGUAGUUGGCGGGGGAACGGCCCACCAAGCCUGCGAUCAGUAACUGGUGUGCGAGCACGACCAGUCACCCGGGCAAUGAAACACGGGCCCGACUCCUACGGGAGGCAGCAGUAAGGAAUAUUGGGCAAUGGACGCAAGUCUGACCCAGCCAUGCCGCGUGAAGGAUGAAGGUCCUCUGGAUUGUAAACUUCUUUUAUCUGGGACGAAAAAAGGUCUUUCUAGAUCGUCUGACGGUACCAGAGGAAUAAGCACCGGCUAACUCCGUGCCAGCAGCCGCCGUAAUAC
rnacentral:rRNA from 1 species